rnacentral:tRNA from 1 species
GCCCGCGUAGCUCAGUGGAUUAGAGCGUUCGCCUCCGGAGCGAAAGGCCGCAGGUUCAAAUCCUGCCGCGGGCACCA